GCGUAAUAGCUCACUGGUCGAGUCGGCCUGCGCGGAAGAUGUAACGGGGCUAAACCAUGCACCGAAGCUGCGGCAGCGACGCUUAUGCGUUGUUGGGUAGGGGAGCGUUCUGUAAGCCGUUGAAGGUGGCCUGUGAGGGUUGCUGGAGGUAUCAGAAGUGCGAAUGCUGACAUAAGUAACGAUAAAGCGGGUGAAAAGCCCGCUCGCCGGAAGACCAAGGGUUCCUGUCCAACGUUAAUCGGGGCAGGGUGAGUCGACCCCUAAGGCGAGGCCGAAAGGCGUAGUCGAUGGGCAACAGGUUAAUAUUCCUGUACUUGGUGUUACUGCGAAGGGGGGACGGAGAAGGCUAUGUUAGCCGGGCGACGGUUGUCCCGGUUUAAGCAUGUAGGCGGAGGUUCCAGGUAAAUCCGGUACCUUUUAACGCUGAGGUGUGAUGACGAGGCACUACGGUGCUGAAGUAACAAAUGCCCUGCUUCCAGGAAAAGCCUCUAAGCAUCAGGUAACACGAAAUCGUACCCCAAACCGACACAGGUGGUCAGGUAGAGAAUACCAAGGCGCUUGAGAGAACUCGGGUGAAG
rnacentral:rRNA from 1 species